rnacentral:lncRNA from 1 species
GGUUGUUGACUGAGGCUUCCAGGCCAUGUCACCUGCUUCAGAAGAAGUGAAUUGAUGUCGGUGGUGCGACAAAGCUGGGUCUUCUCUUUGGCUACUGGCACACCACGUAGCUCGAGAGGGAAGCAGCCUGACCUCUUCCUAACACUGCAGGGAAAGUGGGUGAGUUACUGAGCACACAGCUGUGCAUGACGCUGCAGCCUUCCUCAUCCUCAUCCUGAGGGCUUGCAUUGGAAAAGAGAACUCUGAAUACUUAAAGGGCUUUCAGAGGUCCUUGUCUAGCAGGAGACAUGACUGAACAUAGGUGAGGGAUACACAUAGCCAUGACACGAACUGGAAGCAGGGCAUCUGCAGGUGUGCUGUGGCUCCAAAAUAAUCAGUGAGACACGAGAACCUGGUGAACACGGAGUGCAGCGGUAUCUGCGUGCUGCCCUCCCAUAUGAAGUCAACAAGGGAUAAAAAGACAAGGCAAGCCACUGAUUGUUUUUUACCUUCUUCUUUGUCACCACCGAAUGAGCGAUUGAAGAUUGUUCUGGUUUGCACUACAGGUAAGAAAUUGUUCAUUUAAAAGACCAGAUCUUUAAAAAAUUUA